rnacentral:tRNA from 1 species
GCUCCGAUCGUCUAGCCCGGUCAAGGAUACAAGCUUCUCACGCUUGUGACGGGGGUUCGAAUCCCCCUCGGAGCACCA